GCCUCUGUAGUGCAACUGGUAGCACGUCUGGCUAGCAGUCAGGAGGCUCAGAGUUCAAAUCUCGGUUAGGGCA
rnacentral:tRNA from 1 species